UACAACAGCCAUGUCACCCUGAACGUGCCCGAUCCCAUCAGAUCUGAGAAGCUAAGCAGGGUUGGGCCUGGUUAGCACUUGGAUGGGAGAGAGACCACCUAGGAAGACCAUGUUCUGUAGGAA
rnacentral:rRNA from 1 species